UACGAAGGGGGCGAGCGUUGUUCGGAAUUACUGGGCGUAAAGGGCGCGUAGGCGGGUGUUUAAGUCAGAGGUUAAAUCCCAGGGCUCAACCCUGGAACUGCCUUUGAUACUGGGCACCUAGAGUUCGGGAGAGGUGUGUGGAACUCCGAGUGUAGAGGUGAAAUUCGUAGAUAUUCGGAAGAACACCAGUGGCGAAGGCGACACACUGGCCCGAUACUGACGCUGAGGCGCGAAAGCGUGGGGAGCAAACAGG
rnacentral:rRNA from 1 species